CAUUUCUUUCAUUUUUCUAACCUCCUCGCAGACCCUCUCCCUCCUCGGCUAAAACCCUAAGUCUCUCCUUUCUUCCUCUUCAUGAAUCGUCCCUAGCCCAUACUUUCUUAGCUCACUGUCCCCUUUUCAGUGUUUUGAAAUGAUCAACAACCCCUAAAUCUUCCUUGACACAUCCCUUUACUUCAAGCUCACCCCUACUUUUUUCUUUUUCUUUUUUCUAAACUCCCUGUAAGCCAUAAAGCCAAACUCUCACAUCUUUGCAACUUUCUCAACUUCUAUGUUCUUCUCCAUCUCAAUGAAAAACCCUAACCCCUGGUUCAUCUACCUUACUAAAACCAAAGCCUCCAAACCUCGAUCCUUUCACCCCCUCUAAAUCUAAACCACUCUCUGACCUCUCGAAGAAAUUUUUCCUCACGGAUCCUCAAGUCCAAGUAUUCUCUCUGUUCAAAAUGGGACAGACCCGAAGACCCGAACCCUCGAGGAUUCUGGGGGAUCUGAAAUCUUCGAAGUGGAGAUUCGUUUGACUGUUCGAAAGCCAAUCCUUAAAUAAGUAACCUGGAGGCUCCAGGUGGCAGCCCAUGAGUGGACGGCAUGGCAUCUUCUUUUUAUGUUUUAUUGUAUUUAUUUUGUAUUUCAUUUCCUGCAUGUACUGGUAGGUAGCUUGUACUGCAACAAUUAUUUGUAACGUCUUUUUAAUUUUUAAUUUUUCACUUUUCUAGCUA